ensembl:lncRNA
GCCUGCGUUAUAUGUUUCUGCAGAGAGUUCUGGUUUGGAGGCAAGUCCCGCUCAGAACAUAUGCCCGACUUAAACAUUGUAGUCCUGGCCUUAUUAAUGUCCUGAGAGGUAAUUCCAUACAGGUCACAAGUGAAUGCCUCCAGUGCCUGUUUGAGGUCUUCAGAUGGUGUGAAACUCUCUCCUAAUUGCCGAAAUAGGUCAAUGUAUUCUUUUUUUGAAUUUAGUUUUCUGUAUGCUUUAAUUUUCCCAACACCAUACAGAGCAUUGACUGUAUCACACCCGGAAAAUGGAUGGAGACCUACAAGGGCGUCACACUUCUCCUGUCCAAGAUGGCUGUACAGUUUUGAUAGAUCUGUUAUUUGGGACUCUCUCCCCUUUGGGGAGCGUGCCUAUGUUCCCACAGCCCUAUGUUCCCACAGCCCAAUGUUCCCACAGCCCUAUGUUCCCACAGCCCAAUGUUCCCACAUUUCUAAGAGCUUUUUCAAAAUUAGGUCUUAUGUUCCCACAGCUCUGUGUUCCCACAUUUCUAAUAUUCAUUACAAAAUUAGGCUCUAUGUUCCCACAGUUCCCACAUUUCUACCCCUGCCUGGUAGUUAAGGGUUCACCAUUCCGUAGCUGGCGAUUUGAAGGAGCUAGCUAGCUUCCAAACUCUAACCCUAACCUUAACCCUAGAACAUAGGGCUGUGGGAACAUCGGGACUAAUUUUUCAAAAUAAAUCUGGGAACAUAGGUCUGUGGGAACAUAGGGCCUAAUUUUCAAAAUUGUCAGUGAAAAAAAAAUCCUUAGAAAUGUGGGAACAUAGGGCUGUGGGAACAUAGGGCCUAAUUUUCAAAAUUGUCAGUGAAAAAAAAAUCCUUAGAAAUGUGGGAACAUAGGGCUGUGGGAACAUAGGGCUGACCCCCCCCUAGAACAUAGGGCUGUGGGAACAUCGGGACUAAUUUUUCAAAAUAAAUCUGGGAACAUAGGGCUGUGGGAACAUAGGGCCUAAUUUUCAAAAUUGUCAGUGAAAAAAAAAUCCUUAGAAAUGUGGGAACAUAGGGCUGUGGGAACAUAGGGCUGACCCCCCCC